rnacentral:tRNA from 2 species
CGGGGCAUAGCGCAGUCUGGUAGCGCAUCUGGUUUGGGACCAGAGGGUCGUAGGUUCGAAUCCUGCUGCCCCGACCA